rnacentral:lncRNA from 1 species
GUAAUCAGGUCCCCACUCUCACUGAAGAGUCUUUUUGCAGUGACGCCACAGGCCAGGCAGCAGAGACACAUUUUUCUGCUUUCUGGAUUUUCUCCUUUUGGUCUUGACUCUUUGUGGCCACAUUGGUGAUAUGACUAAAUGGGAGAUCUCAAAGUGGAGACCUGGGCUUUCUCUGUGUAGGCCAGGCUGGCCUUGAACUCACAGGCAUCCACCUGCCCCUGCCUCCCAAGUGCUGGGAUUAGAGGUGUGUGCUCUAUGUGUGUGUAUCUCUCUCUCUCUCUCUCUCUCUCUCUCUCUCUCUCUCUCUCUCUCUCUCUGUGUGUGUGUGUGUAUGCUAGGGUGUCUGAGGAGGUCAGAGUCGAAAGCACCUCAUUCUAUAGAGGUAGAGUCAUAGUUGACUGUGAGCUGCCAACAAGGGUUCCAGGAACCGAACUCAGGUCUUCUGGAAAAACAAGCGUUCUCAAGCGUUGAACCAUCUCUCCAGCCCCAGGGACGAUCUUUUUUUAAAAUUGCUAUUAUUGAUAUAAAAAACCAAAUUUAAGUAUGAUUACAUUGUUUUCUCCCUUCCCUUCCCUUCCCUUCCCUUCCUCCAACCCCUUUUGGUGUACUUGCCUUUCUUUCUUAUAACCGUGGCUUCUUUUAGUGUAACACACACACACACACACACACACACACACACACACACACACAACCUGCCUAGUCUGUUUAGUGUUACUUAUAUGCAGCUGAUUAUUUGAUUUCAGGACUGAUCACUUGAUAUUGGAUAACCAAUUAGGGGACUCAUCUCUGGGGAAGACUAUUUCUCCCGCUCUCAGGACUCCUUCCUUGCCUGUGGUUCUUGGUCUAUGGGUGGCGCCCAGUGAGAUUCCACCCCCACAACCCCACGUCCCUGUUAGCUUGUCCAUUGCUUCUGUACUCCUUCAGACUGUGUUUAGGGCAGAUUUACUUACUGAUCAUGCAUCGUGGGUUAAGCUGCCUUGUCCUUUUUCUAGGAGGCACAAUCUCACAGCAGAUUUCCUGGUCCGCUGGCUCUCACAAUCUUUCCCCUUCCCUCUUCUAAGAGGCUUCUUGAGUCUUGGAUGCAGGAGCUGUGCUGUAGAUGGGUCCCAUGGCACCGGAGACCUCCUUUCACGGCGUGUGUCUCAGCGGAGGCCACAGAAACGUUGGUCGUGGCAGCGGCGACUAUGCUGUUGUCAGUGGGGACUCCAUUGUGUCUGCAGAUUAAACAGAAGUUAGCCCCUGUCCAGAGAGUCUGAUGGCUCAAAGAAUUUCCUGUGAGUGGAGGGACACAGCAAUUACUGGGAAACCACGCCUAUGCCUGGAGCACCUUCUAUCCAUCCCACCUUGGAGCCCAAGACCUUCCGUAGCUCUGUGGUUCAGAGCCCGUGGCCAAUCAGUUGGAAUGAACACAAGGCAGAACCUCUUUAGUAGCAUUGGAUUAGGGAACUAAGGCGGGCUGUGAACUUCAGUCUACGGUAAGCACAGCACCCAGGAAGGAAGAGACUGAUUUAGCCUAUCACAAGAGCUCCUUUUUCAUUUUUCUUUAAUUUUAUCUUAUUGUUUAUUUUGGUUUUUGGAGACUGGGUUUCUCUGUGUAGCUCUGGUUGCCCUGGAACUUGCUCUGUAGACCAGGCUAGCCUCGAACUCAAGAGAUCUGCCUGCCCCUGCCUCCCGAGUGCUGGGAUUAAAGGUGUGGGUCACCAUACUUGGCUUAUUAUUUAUUUUAAAUAAAACUGGUGCUUCAACCUCUAGAGUCAGGAGAGAGUUGGUUGGAGUUGGCAGGUAAGAAUGAGGUGUGGCCAGUCCCAGAGGAAGUGAGCGAUGGAAGAAAAAGCAGCCACAGAUGUUUGGAAAUUCCCUGGAGUCCCGCUGCUUCUCUUCUUGGACUUUUUCUUAUGACUCUCCUGAUAUGACUCUCCUUAUGACUAUUGGUGAAGUGACUCAGAACAGUGGCCAUGAACAAACAGAGAGUCUGUCACCUACCACUUCUGGCAUCCCUGGACUUUUCUGGACGUCUUUCUCUACAUACAUACAUGGUAGAAAACUCUACCUCUGCCCUCCUGGACACAACUGGCAAUAUAUCUUCUUGUGGGAAGUCUAAGUAGUGUCCAGCAACCUUGUGGCACAGUUGGGGGAAGGGUUAAGGAUCCAGGAGGGGACAGAGAUUCUACAAGAAUAAUCACAGAGUGAACUAAUCCAGACCUUUGGGGCUCCCAGAGACUGAACCACUAACCGGAGAGCAUGCAGGGGUUGGACCCAGGUCUCCCGUACUUACGCCGCAGUACAGGUACAGCUCCAUCUUCAUGUGGGUCCCCCAACAACUGGAGUGGGGGCUGUUUCUGACUCCG